AUAUAAUGGAGUACCACUGAGAUUGUAAUAUUAAUAAACAACCAACAAUAUUAACUUACAAGUAGCAAACUAUUCCACUGGUUUGCUUGUUUUAUUCUUGUUGCCGUAUAUAAAUCCAGUUUCCUUCCUGCAAAAAGAUGACCCAAUUCUAAUUCCACAUUCAAAUCGAAUUGCAACAACAAUAAUAAGAAAAUAGAAAUAUAUAACCGAGCAUACAAGCUAAGUAAUUUUUUGAAAAAGAUAAUAGAAAUUAGAAGCAUCACAUGCGGAUCAGGUAUGGGUUUUCAUUUCUCGCCAUAUCGAUAAGAAUAUGCAGCUACAAGUGCUGCCUUUUGCUGCUAAGAAAGUAGACGAAGAAGAUUUAGUAUAUUCAAGCUGAAAUAACUGAAAUUGAUUUUAAUAAUAAAUAAAAUUUUGAGUUACCUCCUCUUCUUUCUUGCGGUCCUGGGACGGCUUGAUCCAGAGAAAGUAGGCUAUGGUUCCCACAACAAACCACGAAGCGAGGUUGCUUCCUCCUCUAAGGCCUCCCAUGGAAUUCCCUACAAAGGUCCUCGCAAUCCCCGGUGCUCUUUUCCAAUCACUUGUCAUUGUGCAAAAUUUUUCCAAUUACUGAUCCUAGAGCUUCGUUCAAUAAGUUCUGGAUUAGAGUUUAGCUACUUUCACUCAUGAGCAAGGCUUGCCCGACCAAAAUCAACUGUUGCGAUUUAACGUUAUACGAGUGCCAAUUGCCGAGAGAGUAGGCCUCUGUUUCCGGGAGAUUUUAGUUACACUGGAGGAAUAACCAACUGCUUCCGUCUGGAAACGGUGAUGGUGUCUACAGUGAAACUCUCCUCUCCGUUAGGCUAAAGCAUAAUUAUAAAUUCCGGUACUUAUAAUCCAGAUUGUUGAGACCGUUGGCAAAGGUUAAAUACGACAAUAUAAAUACGUCUAUGUAAAAAAACACAGAUAUGAUAAACCCAUCUGCUCUCUUCUUUUUCUCCUUUGGUUUUCGAUUGCUAGGGUUACAGACCUUUUUUUGUUGCUGUUUUCGAGCGGUGGGGUAGAGGAAGCCUCCCUCCCCUAACCCGUCUAUGAUUUCCAUCCCCAUCGCCGGGUUAGGUUUGUAAAUAGUUUUGUUUGUCUUGUGUUUUCCAUGGAUAGUCGAUGUUUGAAUUGCGAGGGUGUUGUAAGGACUGUUUCGGUUCUUUUUUUUUUCCUCUUUGGUUGUGUGGUUUUUUUUUCUACAGGUUCUAGUGGAUGCAUGUCAGUCGUGGCCUUCUGCACAUAGAUCCGGUCUCCUUUUGGGUUUGGUCUUGCGGAUCUGUGACGAAGGGUUCACUCAAUGGCGACUUAAGAGAGUGUGGCAUCUCGUUGUGUAUAGGCCGAAGUGUGCCAUUUGUGAAACGCGAGUAAGGUUGCUCUUAUAAUGCUUCUUGGACCUAUGGAGCUUUGCGAGACACAAUGCCUUCCCUCCCUUGUGCGUUUGUGGUGGUUCAUCACCUUUCAAUGGUAAAGCGGCGCUCUACGCCGAUGGCGUUCAAAUUAUUCUAUCAGAGAGUUGCAUGAUUUGGAGCUACAUUCGUUGGACUAUUGACGAAGGAAGAAAGCUCGGCAAGUGGUAGGUGAUGGCUUCUAUGUCGGAAUGGUAUAUAGUUGGCCCUUUGGCUAUGACGAGACUGUGAAUGUGGAUAUCCCAUUCACUCGUUCCUUCCAUUGGCGAUAAGGAGCUCUUUCUACAAUAAGGCUGGUCUUAGUGGAUUUGUGUUCUCACUACCUUUUGGAGCUUCAUGACUUACGAUUUCUGUUUGUUUAGGGCUUUCAGGGUGGCGAAUCUGAUGGUUGUUUUCUUAUUUUCAGCGGUUAAUACAGGUGGCGAUGUCGGUAGAAGAGAAAGCGAUAAUAACUGUCUUAAUAAUUAUAUUGAGCUUCUUUUCGGUUUAUAAAUAUAUAUUUUUUUGUCAUUAAUUUAUGAGUCUAUUAUUAUC